UUUUUUUUUUUUUUUUUUUUUUUUUUUUUUGUCUUUUGGUCUUUUUUUUGUUAUUGUUGUUGUUGUUGCUGCUAUUUCUUGGGCCGCUCCCGCGGCAUAUGGAUGUUCCCAGGCUAGGGGUUGAAUCAGAGCUGUAGCCACCGGCCUACGCCAGGGGCACAGCAACGCAGGAUCCGAGCCGCGUCUGCAACCUACACCACAGCUCACGGCAACGCCGGAUCGUUAACCCACUGAGCAAGGGCAGGGACCGAACCCGCAACCUCAUGGUUCCUAGUCGGAUUCGUUAACCACUGCGCCACGACGGGAACUCCAACACGCUUUCUUUGAAGUAUCUGCACUAAGAUUUUUCGAAGCUUAGUUUUGUUGCUAGCUGCCUCUUCUAAUCUCAAAUAUGUAUAGAGAAUCUAGAAUUAGAGAAUGAAACAAAAACAGACAAAUCCCUGAUUACUAUUUGGCCACCAGUUGGGUUUUAUGUAUCUAUCCUGGUAAGAUAAUGAACUAAAUUUAUUAAAUAUUUUCAUCACAUUUUUAUUGUUCCUUGAAGAUUUCCAAGCUGUUUGUAUGUGGGCAUACAUAGGAUGUCUGUUAUGAAUUGCACUGAGGGGAAAGCAAAGACAAUGGUAUGCUUAUAUUUGAUGUACAGGAUUUUGACAUUUCAGGGAAAUUAUACGCAAGCCUGAUAAAUGUAAAACAACAUUCUGAGUAAAAUGUGUUAAGUAAACUCUGAGAACCUUGCUAUCAUUUGCUGUGGUUAGCACCAUACAGCAAAUUACCUUAUCUUUUAUUUUACAUUUUGUAUCACAGAUUGUAAGGCAACUCAUGCUGUAUUCUUGGCCUAGGACAAUUACUAUAACCAUUAAUAGUAGUGGUUUACCUGACUAAGAUUGUCUCCAUCUUUUAUAUAGUUCUUCCUUGUUAAGCGUUUUAGUCAUGACAUUACUGACUUUAUCCUUUUGUUGAUGACAGCAGAAAAUUGACAAUUUUCUCUUUCAGCAGUCAUUAGAGCCCUAGAGAUUUGAUUUUUCCACUAUGUUGAAGAUGGUUCUUUAGUUUUAAAUUGUAUGAUUUGCAUUUAAAAGUCUUCCCAUAUUUGUCCCUCCUGAAAUUUGUAGUGUUUGUUGAGAAAACUGAGGUAAAUGCUACCAGUAGAAUGAUACUUUAAAAUUUAUAUAUAUUUUUUCCUACACUGAAAAUCUCUCUUUAAUUCAGCUAAUCUUUGCAUCUUGCAGUACUGCAUCUGCCAAUGCAACAGCAAUGGUCCUGAGUGUUUCUACCAGGGCCAUGGCUGCAGUCUCCCAACUGGUUUUUCUCCUGCAGUUUCAUUCUCCUUUACUCAAUUUUUGGUUCAAAUGCUACUUCCUCAGAGAGGAAUCCUCUGGUCCCUGAUAAUAUCUGCCUAAAAUUUUCUUCUGGAGUUCCUGUCGUGGCGUGGUGGUUAGCGAAUCUGACUGGGAACCAUGGGGGAUUGAAUCUAAAACCUCAUGUUCCUAGUCAGAUUCAUAUCUGCUGAGCCAUCACGUGAACUUCAUAACUUCUUCCCCUUCAGUCUUAAUGUUGGCCAAAGUAGGGGAGGCAUUUCAUGAUCAAUUUGUCCCACAGCCCUAGGAAUGCUCAUUCCCAGGUCAGGAAAUGAUUUUGUUCAUAGGCCACUGAAUGUGCUUACUUGAUCUGGGCCCUGUUAACAGUAACUAAAAGCCUAUGGACUACCUGUCUUAUUAGUCUGUUAUGAUGCAGGAAAUUGUUCCCUCUUGUCACUUUUUGCCAUAUCUAGAGUUAUACUAUUACAAUCAUUGAUCUUAUGGAACUUUAUAUUUGAUCAGUUGUUUAAGUCGCCUAAUCAUUUUCUCUGAAGCCCAGUCUCAUAUUCGUAGUAUGGAAACAAUAAUCUUGUAAAAUAGGCAGGAUACAAGUAGAUAUCUAGUAACAUUAAUAGGAUCAUAAAUAAGCAUCAAGCUAAGAACUUCCAGUAUCUCCCCAGGUCACCUGACCUGUCUGUUUUGCCUUAAUCACUAUCUUUAAGGGAAAUAUUAUACUGGCAUUGUACACAAAAUUCCCCAAAGAUUUCUGCAAAACAUAUCUGUAUAAGGUAUGUGAUACGUCACCAUGACCUCUUAUAGGAUUGAGGAAGGAAUGUUAUCUUCUAAGGAGUUAGAUGGGUGAUGCCAGAAGGAGAAAAAUAGGUCUUUAUAAUUGAGCAAGUAUUUCUACUGUUGGGGAGGUCUGGUUAAUGCAUAAGGCAGAUGCACAAUGCACACUAGAGGGGAGGGAAGAGGCCCAAACAGGCAGAAAAAAAAUUAAAAAAAAUAAAUCUGUGUUUUAUUGAUUGAUUUUUUAUUUUUUGGCCACACCCACAGUAUGUGGGAAUUUCCCAGGCCAGGGAUAAAGCCCAUGCCACAGUUGCGGCCUGCAUCACUGUUGUGGCAACACCGGAUCAUUAACCUACUGCUCCAUAAGGGAACUUCAACUGUUAUGUUUAAAUUUUCCUGAUCUUGCUUUAAAACAUGAAUUUUUGUUUCAUUAUGGAUGUUAACUAGAUUUAUUGUGGUCAUCAUUUUGCAAUAUAUUCAGAUAUUGAAUCAUUACAUUGUAUACCUAAAACUAGUAUAAUGUUAUAUGUCAAAUAUAUGUCAAAAAAAAAAAA
rnacentral:lncRNA from 1 species